UGGAAGCCGAGUGACCUCAUAAAGCUCUGCAGCCUCCUGACCAAUCAGCAGGGCCACCUCCCACCUCCUCCCCCCACCCCCAGUCUCAGGCCAGGCAGAACUUUUUAGCUAACCGGUUCACACUCAAACAAGUUUCCAGCUUUUGGUACAGGCUUCCCCCACCCCUGGGGUGAUGGGGGCUCAUGUCCAGCCCUCUCCCUCCGUCCCAAGGCCAGGAUCUUCAUUCCCUGGGACCCUUCUAAGGUCCCAUAUCGUCUGAGGUUCUAGUCAGGGGCAGGUUCAGGGUCUGUCCCUUGGGCACGCUGUACCCACAGUUCCUGCUCCACAGCCUGGAUUGAGGGGCAGCUAUGUCCUGUAUCAGGACGGUGCAGCAGGUGGCGGCUACAGGGCAUCAGGCUCGUCAGGUUAAUCGAUCCUUAUCCAUGACCACGAGGCCGACCUUUCUACUCACUGCUGCGUAUCGCAAGGUCUGGUGUUACCUACCUGAGUGCCUCCAGGUCUCCUCUCCGGGACAGAUGUGCAGCAACGUGUGUCUCUUAUACUUGAGUGUUAGGAACUCCCAUCACAGUUGCCUAAGUACCCUGAGGUUUCACUUCUAUCAGGAGACAACACCCCGCCUACAGGAGGAUGACAAAUGCUCACCUCACACACCUGCAUGUUACGAAGUUGCAACUCCUGCAAGAGUGAGGACAUCAAGUCUCCACCGCAUGGAGGGCGAUCUCCCCUCCUCUCCCUGAGUGCCGAAGGCCUCAUCUCUACCACCUGAGUGUCACUUUGGGGUGUCUUCUCUACCCGAGAACCCAGAGUCUUCUACCCCCUACCUGAAGGCCAGGAGGUGCAUCUCACCUAGUGCGCCGCGAUUUCAUCAGCCAUACUGAGGAGCCAGGAAGCCUCCCUCCCCACCUAAAAGUAUGAGCUUUUAGCAUCUCUACCUGAAUAUCACACGGUCUCCUUUACUGGCUAAGUGUCUGACUGUGGUUUCCGUCUCACUGCUGAGGGUCUUGGGGUCGCAUCUCCCCUACCCGAGGGUAAUGAAAUCUCCUAUCUCCCAUUCGAGUAUAACCGGGUCUUCUGUGCUCUCCCUGAGUGUCAGGAGAUCUGGUCUCUCGUGUCUUCUGCUAGAUCUGGAGCCUCCAUCUCUUCUCUCUUCAUGACCGAGGGGUCUCCUCUCCCCUAUUUGAGUGUGACAAGGUCUUAUGGUCCCUACCUGCAGAUCAGGUGUUUCCAUCUCUUCCACUUAAUUGUCGGACCUCUCAUCUCCUCUACACAACUGUCCCCAAAUCUGCUGUUUGGGGACAGCAGAUUUGUUGUAAUAGGAGAGGUGUGGGAGUGCUGACUGGCUGCCUGCUAAGGUAACCAAAAAGGCUUUGGAAUCACACUUCAAGAAACGACAACAGGAAUUCAAGAUGGAACCAUUAGAGUUUUGAUUGUGUAAGAAAACACCUAUUCAGGAGUUUUUACAGGAUUCUGAUGGGCACAAAAUUGAUAUGGUAUUUAGGUCCAUGAGAAUCAUUUAGCAGAAUGAUGUAAACAUUUAUUUUGAUGCCAAUAUGUACAAUUUUCCAGAAAUCACAACCUUGGCAAGUAUUUAAACAUGAUGAAGAUGUUAGUCAUAAACUUCAAGAUGAAAAGUAGUACCUGGUUUUUCAAAACACUUAGAGUCACUCAUAACAAAGUUGAAGACCCAAGGUCUAGAUUCUAGAAGACAACUACUGUGUGACUUCACAGAGUAACACUCA
rnacentral:lncRNA from 12 species